rnacentral:tRNA from 1 species
CAGGACGUAGCUAUAAACCAAAGCAUUCAGCUUACACCUGAAAGAUGUCUUCUAACCAGGACCGACCUGA